GUAACUGCCCGUACCGCAAACCGACACAGGUAGUUGAGGAGAGAAUCCUAAGGUGUGCGAGAGAACUCUCGUUAAGGAACUCGGCAAAAUGACCCCGUAACUUCGGGAGAAGGGGUGCUGACCGCAAGGUCAGCCGCAGUGAAUAGGCCCAAGCGACUGUUUAUCAAAAACACAGGUCUCUGCAAAAUCGAAAGAUGACGUAUAGGGGCUGACGCCUGCCCGGUGCUGGAAGGUUAAGAGGAGAGGUUAGCGCAAGCGAAGCUUUGAAUUGAAGCCCCAGUAAACGGCGGCCGUAACAAUAACGGUCCUAAGGUAGCGAAAUUCCUUGUCGGGUAAGUUCCGACCCGCACGAAAGGCGUAACGAUUUGGGCACUGUCUCAACGAGAGACUCGGUGAAAUUAUAGUACCAGUGAAGAUGCUGGCUACCCGCGACAGGACGGAAAGACCCCAUGGAGCUUUACUGCAGUUUGAUAUUGCGUGUUUGUAUCACAUGUACAGGAUAGGUAGGAGCCAAUGAUACCGGGACGCCAGUCUCGGAGGAGGCAACGGUGGGAUACUACCCUUGUGAUAUGACCACUCUAACCCGCUGCUCUUAGCGAGCAGGGAGACAGUGUCAGACGGGCAGUUUGACUGGGGCGGUCGCCUCCAAAAAUGUAACGGAGGCGCCCAAAGGUUCCCUCAGAAUGGUUGGAAAUCAUUCGUAGAGUGUAAAGGCAGAAGGGAGCUUGACUGCGAGACCUACAAGUCGAGCAGGGACGAAAGUCGGGCUUAGUGAUCCGGUGGUUCCGCAUGGAAGGGCCAUCGCUCAACGGAUAAAAGCUACCCUGGGGAUAACAGGCUUAUCUCCCCCAAGAGUUCACAUCGACGGGGAGGUUUGGCACCUCGAUGUCGGCUCAUCGCAUCCUGGGGCUGUAGUCGGUCCCAAGGGUUGGGCUGUUCGCCCAUUAAAGCGGUACGCGAGCUGGGUUCAGAACGUCGUGAGACAGUUCGGUCCCUAUCCGUCGCGGGCGUUGGAAAUUUGAGAGGAGCUGUCCUUAGUACGAGAGGACCGGGAUGGACACACCGCUGGUGUACCAGUUGUUCUGCCAAGAGCAUCGCUGGGUAGCUAUGUGUGGACGGGAUAAACGCUGAAAGCAUCUAAGCGUGAAGCCCCCCUCAAGAUGAGAUUUCCCAUCACUUUAAGUGAGUAAGACCCCUGAGAGAUGAUCAGGUAGAUAGGUU
rnacentral:rRNA from 1 species